UACGUAGGGGGCUAGCGUUGUCCGGAUUUAUUGGGCGUAAAGAGCGUGUAGGCGGCCAGGUAGGUCCGCUGUGAAAACUCGAGGCUUAACCUCGAGAUGUCGGUGGAAACCAUCUGGCUAGAGUCCGGAAGAGGAGAGUGGAAUUCCUGGUGUAGCGGUGAAAUGCGCAGAUAUCAGGAAGAACACCCGUGGCGAAGGCGGCUCUCUGGGACGGUACUGACGCUGAGACGCGAAAGCGUGGGGAGCGAACAGG
rnacentral:rRNA from 1 species